UACGUAGGGUGCGAGCGUUAAUCGGAAUUACUGGGCGUAAAGCGUGCGCAGGCGGUUUUGUAAGCCAGAUGUGAAAGCCCCGGGCUCAACCUGGGAAUGGCAUUUGGGACUGCAAGGCUUGAGUGCGGCAGAGGAGACUGGAAUUCCUGGUGUAGCAGUGAAAUGCGUAGAUAUCAGGAGGAAUACCGAUGGCGAAGGCAGGUCUCUGGGCUGAUACUGACGCUGAGGAGCGAAAGCGUGGGGAGCAAACAGG
rnacentral:rRNA from 1 species